UUAACUACAAACGUUUCUGCAGAGCCUGCUCC
rnacentral:piRNA from 1 species